rnacentral:siRNA from 1 species
UCGGCAACGGAUAUCUCGGC